CCUACGUGUGGCAGCAGUGAGGAAUCUUGGUCAAUGGACGCGAGUCUGAACCAGCCCCGUAGCGUGAAGGAUGACUGCCCUAUGGGUUGUAAACUUCUUUUAUAUGGGAAUAAAAUGUUCCCCGUGUGGGUUUUUGUAUGUACAUUAUGAAUAAGGAUCGGCUAACUCCGUGCCAGCAGCCGCGGUAAUACGGAGGAUCCGAGCGUUAUCCGGAUUUAUUGGGUUUAAAGGGAGCGUAGGUGGGUUGUUAAGUCAGUUGUGAAAGUUUGCGGCUCAACCGUAAAAUUGCAGUUGAUACUGGCAGUCUUGAGUACAGUAGAGGUGGGCGGAAUUCGGGGGGUAGCGGGGAAAUGCUUAGAUAUCACGAAGAACUCCGAUUGCGAAGGCAGCUCACUGAACUGCAACGGACACUGAUGCUCGAAAGUGUGGGUAUCAAACAGGAGUAGAUACCCCAGUAGUC
rnacentral:rRNA from 1 species